rfam:Ciona savignyi cont_53573, whole genome shotgun sequence.
AGCGUGUGCUCUCUUGGCCGACAGGUCCGGGAAACCCGUUGAACCCCCGGUCGUGCUAGGGUAUAGGGAAUUGCAAUUAUUUCCCUUGAACGAGGAAUUCCCAGUAAGCGCGAGUCAUUAGCUCGCGUUGAUUACGUCCCUGCCCUUUGUACACACCGCCCGUCGCUACUACCGAUUGAAUGGUUUAGUGAGGUCCUCCGAUUGGACCCGGUCCGGGCGGCGACGUCCGAGCCGGCGUCCGAGAAGACGAUCUAACUUGAUCAUUUAGAGGAAGUAAAAGUCGUAACAAGGUUUCCGUAGGUGAACCUGCGGAAGGAUCAUUA